ACACACACACGUGAACCCACGAACACAUGAACACACACUGAUAGAAACUUCCUCACAGCUCAGUGUGUGUUCAUGUGUUCGUGUGUGUGUGUGUGUGUGU